UACGUAGGGGGCCAGCGUUGUCCGAAGUUACUGGGCGUAAAGAGCGCGUAGGCGGGUCUUUAAGUGAGGGGUGAAAGGUUCGGGCUCAACCCGGACACUGCCUUUCAUACUGGGGACCUUGAGUGCGGGAGGGGCGAGUGGAAUGGUCGGUGUAGCGGUGAAAUGCGUAGAUAUCGAUCGGAACACCCAUGGCGAAGGCAGCUCGCUGGCCUGCAACUGACGCUGAGGCGCGAAAGCGUGGGGAGCGAACAGG
rnacentral:rRNA from 1 species